GGCGCUGUGGACAAGUCUGGCAAGUCGCCUUGGCAGCAACCAAGGAGAUCCCGGGUUCGAUUCCUGGCAGCGCCU
rnacentral:tRNA from 1 species